rnacentral:rRNA from 1 species
AAAUUGAAGAGUUUGAUCAUGGCUCAGAUUGAACGCUGGCGGCAGGCCUAACACAUGCAAGUCGAACGGUAACAGGAAGCAGCUUGCUGCUUCGCUGACGAGUGGCGGACGGGUGAGUAAUGUCUGGGAAACUGCCUGAUGGAGGGGGAUAACUACUGGAAACGGUGGCUAAUACCGCAUAACGUCGCAAGACCAAAGAGGGGGACCUUCGGGCCUCUUGCCAUCAGAUGUGCCCAGAUGGGAUUAGCUUGUUGGUGAGGUAACGGCUCACCAAGGCGACGAUCCCUAGCUGGUCUGAGAGGAUGACCAGCCACACUGGAACUGAGACACGGUCCAGACUCCUACGGGAGGCAGCAGUGGGGAAUAUUGCACAAUGGGCGCAAGCCUGAUGCAGCCAUGCCGCGUGUAUGAAGAAGGCCUUCGGGUUGUAAAGUACUUUCAGCGGGGAGGAAGGUGUUGUGGUUAAUAACCGCAGCAAUUGACGUUACCCGCAGAAGAAGCACCGGCUAACUCCGUGCCAGCAGCCGCGGUAAUACGGAGGGUGCAAGCGUUAAUCGGAAUUACUGGGCGUAAAGCGCACGCAGGCGGUCUGUCAAGUCGGAUGUGAAAUCCCCGGGCUCAACCUGGGAACUGCAUUCGAAACUGGCAGGCUUGAGUCUUGUAGAGGGGGGUAGAAUUCCAGGUGUAGCGGUGAAAUGCGUAGAGAUCUGGAGGAAUACCGGUGGCGAAGGCGGCCCCCUGGACAAAGACUGACGCUCAGGUGCGAAAGCGUGGGGAGCAAACAGGAUUAGAUACCCUGGUAGUCCACGCCGUAAACGAUGUCUACUUGGAGGUUGUGCCCUUGAGGCGUGGCUUCCGGAGCUAACGCGUUAAGUAGACCGCCUGGGGAGUACGGCCGCAAGGUUAAAACUCAAAUGAAUUGACGGGGGCCCGCACAAGCGGUGGAGCAUGUGGUUUAAUUCGAUGCAACGCGAAGAACCUUACCUGGUCUUGACAUCCACGGAAGUUUUCAGAGAUGAGAAUGUGCCUUCGGGAACCGUGAGACAGGUGCUGCAUGGCUGUCGUCAGCUCGUGUUGUGAAAUGUUGGGUUAAGUCCCGCAACGAGCGCAACCCUUAUCCUUUGUUGCCAGCGGUCGGCCGGGAACUCAAAGGAGACUGCCAGUGAUAAACUGGAGGAAGGUGGGGAUGACGUCAAGUCAUCAUGGCCCUUACGACCAGGGCUACACACGUGCUACAAUGGCGCAUACAAAGAGAAGCGACCUCGCGAGAGCAAGCGGACCUCAUAAAGUGCGUCGUAGUCCGGAUUGGAGUCUGCAACUCGACUCCAUGAAGUCGGAAUCGCUAGUAAUCGUGGAUCAGAAUGCCACGGUGAAUACGUUCCCGGGCCUUGUACACACCGCCCGUCACACCAUGGGAGUGGGUUGCAAAAGAAGUAGGUAGCUUAACCUUCGGGAGGGCGCUUACCACUUUGUGAUUCAUGACUGGGGUGAAGUCGUAACAAGGUAACCGUAGGGGAACCUGCGGUUGGAUCACCUCCUUACCUUAAAGAA